AUGGGCAAGGCCACAUCUUCAAAUGCGGCAAGGGGCAGCCCUUCUCUAAGGAGGGGCGGGCCGACCCUCACCCCGGCCCGCCGUGCUGUUCGGCGGACUGGCCACUGGAGGGCAGUGCGACCACGUCCAUCGCGCCCCUGCUCGGGCCGCAGGCGGGAGCAGCCCUCGGAGCAGCCGGGGAAGGCGGCUGCGGUGGCUUCAGCCAGGAGAGAAGACAUCGAAAGGGAUCGCGGCCCAGGCUGCGGCCUCAGCUCACCGGCCUCAGACGUUCUCAGAGGCCAAAGGGGCCCCGCCGGCGCGCACCUGCGGCCCGGGUAUCGCCGAGGGGUAUCGCCGGGUAUCGCCAAGGCCCGGCCAGCCGCCUGCAAGGCCAGGAGCAGAAAGCCGGGGGCAGCAGACGUAGCUGCUAGUGGUCAUCAGGUGUUUGGGGCAAGCUGAGCGCCUGGAUCCCAGACAAGCGUGUAUCCAAGUGUCCUAUGAUGUUGCUCACAGCAUGCAGUGCAGCUUCUUCACAGGCUGCCAGUCUCCAAGCCGGGUCAAGGACAAGCAGGCUGGAGCAGAAUCCAAGUAGUCACCCCUUUCAGGCCCUCUCCACGUGAGGACUUUGCCAUUCAAGGAGCCAGAGGACUUGCUGGGCCCGCUGCCCCUGUGGUCUUAUACCUGAUCUGGUUCAUACAUUGAUCUUGGCUGUCCGUGAUUGGGUACUUCUCAGCUUCCAGAAUAUUCUUGCUUCUAAAUAUCAGCCCUUCAAGGUCCAGCUUAAAUAUCAGCUCCACCAGGAAGCCUUCCUCCAUACUCCCCUCUUUGUUUUCAGCAGCGCCUGUCUUUUCCAUCCCUGCCCACCUGUAGUGCCAGUUGGCCUCUGCUGUGGAACUCUCCUCUUUUCUUCUCUGCACCCUCCCCCCACUGAAUUGUGGGCACCUGGAGGGUGGGGACAGUGUGACGGUGGUCUUUGCAUCCCCCAUGGUGCCUUGCACAAGUGGGUCAUUCCAGAAAGGGUGGUUGCAAGAGAAUCAUGAAAUUAUUGAAUGGGUUUUGGUGUUGUAAACAACUUCCCAAACAUUUUGAACCUUGAGCAAAGAAACAUGUAAUGGUGUUUUCUUAAGCCCUGUCAUGGAAUCCUUUUGUGUGUUUAAUUGCUUUGUUAUUUUUAAUGGAAACGUCUGGGUGCCAUAGGAACAAAAACCAUGGGUCCAAGCUCUACCAAGGGGACGAACCACAGGGCUCCACACUGUGUGGCCUUGGGGUCGGAGCCUGUGACAUGGGAUGGCAGGCAGCAGGCCAGUCCCCAAGGAGCAGCCAGCCAAGGAAGGCCUGUGCCUCUGGCUGGGUUUGAGGUCAUGAUUUCAGGCUGAGAUCUCAGGAUGAGGUAGAAAAGAAGGUGCCUGGAGAGUCUUGGAGAAGGCCAAAGCUCAAGGAAGACUCUUUUUUUUUUUUUCCUUUUAAAAGAAAAAGCCAGCGUGCCCCAUGAAGGACUCCAGAAAACCCCUUUCAUGCCUCACUCACAGAUGAUUUGCUGAAGGCUCAUUAAGGGGAAAACAAAGAGGUGGUUUUGUUUAUUUAUUUAAGAGGAAAAAUAAAUGAGCUGUGACAAAACAAUUUGAAAUCAGGCCCCUCUGAGACCUGGGCUUUCACUUCCUUGAUGGGAAGUAAAACAGAGAAUCGAAUCCCCCUCCAAAUAAAAGUGAAGUUAAUAAUCAGACAGCUCGAGCCCUGGCCACAUCCUGUGGCAGCUCCCUCCCUCCCUCCCUCGGCUCACUGUUUAUAGCUGCAGAGCCGCCCUCGGGAGCCCAAAGUGGCUUAACUCUUUCCUCCCCAUCCCUGUGCAUCCCAGGGAAGCCCAGCGCUGCUCUGAGGCUGGCAGGCUCCUCACACCCUCUGGUGCAGGCCUGGCCUCUGCAAGCUGGCCUUCCCCAGGCCUGCCCAGGGGCAGGGGGCCGGAGAGGGGGGGUGCCGUCCCUACAGGACGGCCAGCCUGCCUCUCAGCCUCUGGCUGAAGAGUUUUAACAAGCCCAGCUUAGAUCUGAGUGGUGUCUUCUGCUUGUCCUGCACAAAACCCACAGUGGGCUCAGGAGGGCUGGACUGGGUACCUCCUUCCUGCUCCACCUCUCCAGGGAAACCCUAGUGAAACCCACUCCAGACACAGGGCCUCUGCUCUAGGCAGCCUCCACAGCCCGAUGGGCUCUGUGAACUGCAUUCUGAUGGAAAGAAGCCCAGACCUUUGGGGCUUUGGGCUUGUGCUGUGAGCAGCGCUCUGCCUGGUUCUAAGCUGCGGUCUACGAACAUUUGAACAUGUGAAGGCCUUUUCUUCAAAUGCUUUCCCACACUGUAACUCACUGCUCUUGGAAGCAGUUGUUACCCUCAUUUUACAGAACAGGAAACGGGGGCACAGAGGGUUAAGUACCUGCCCGGUGUCACAGAGCUGGUAAAUAGCUGAGCUGGGAUUUGAACCCAAGCAUUGUGGCUCCAAAGCCACGGCUCCUAGCCCAGCACUCAAGGUCUCCCCACAGAGACUGCUUUCUCCCCUGGAGCUGGGGGUGGGGGGCUUUCUGCAAGCUUGGAAUAAUCCCACACUUGGAUUUCAAAGGUCCCCAAGCCUAAGGACUUUUGAGAACCUUAGAACUUUGUCUUGGGCUCCCCCCACCCCGCUUUCUGUUUCUUGCUUGGGAUGAAGGCACAGAAAACAUGCCCAGGGGUUCAGUGGGUGGUGGAAUGAGUGGAUGUGCAGCAGGCGAGGAUGAGGCAAACCUUUCAUCUGCUUGGGAGGAGGUUCUAGAGCAAGAACCCAAAGAAGGUAGACCUGGACUCCUCUCCAGUCCCUGCCAGCCCUGUAGCCUGUGGGUCCCUCACCUGAAGUCACACUGGCUUCUGGCUGAAGCUUGUCUUGCAGGAAGCUACUCACAGUUGCCUGUGGGCAAGUGGCAAAAACUUAUGAGCUGGCUCAGUGGGCAGUCUGCCUCUCUGGGGUCUCUCCCUCUGCAUGCCCUGGCUACUUAGCUUUGUUUUUGGAAGCAUGUCUGUUGCCAAGUCCCCUUUGGUGGGUGCCUCUGACCCUGGAGGGUGUGUUGUGCUGCCCCCUGGUGUCUGGAGGCCAUCAUGCCUGCUCUACUGCUUAGUGCUCCAGAAGCUCCCUUUCUCAGGGCCUGCUGGGCACCCUGAAUGGCUUGCCCCCACCUUUGGGAGUGAACUAAUCCACGGAAGGCCUGCUUUCUUAGGAUGUAGGUUGCCAUUCAGAGCCACUGCCCAGAGUGGCAGUGUGCUAUUCUUCAUUUUCGAAUUCAGUCUUCAACUAGAGAGAAAGCUCUGGGGCUCUAUCCCAAGUGGCCUGUUCUCAGUGCAAGGUGGCUCCUCUGUAGAGGGAGGCAGGCAGCAGGGGCUUCUCAGCGAUACCCCAAGGGGCUGACUCUCAGCGUGAUGCCUGUCCCAAAGAGGGCUCUGAGAAUGUGUGCCUUGACUCUUAUUUAUGUAGAUGUUUAAGCGAAGCAUCUGCAUUUCCAAUGGAGCACCCAAGAUGGGGUGGCUGCAUUGUGGGCCUGAGAGGCUGGCUCAAGGGUGACAUUUGCCAAAACCCCCUCAUAUCAGACUCAGCCUUUCUUUAUCGGUGCUUACAAGGGCUGGGGUACUGUAUGACCGUCAAUCUCAUUUACCCCACAUUCUGGGAAAUGGGGUAUGUGUGCUUCUCCCCAUUUUCCAGUUGAAGAAAGUGAGAAUACUUGUCUACUCUGUUCUAAUGGCUGUCUUCUAGAAAAGAAAGUUAAUCGUGGUUUAAAAUACAUUGAAACCUAUUUAUUUAUUUUUUGUCUUUUUGCCCUUUCUAGGGCCACUUCCUGCAGCUUAUGGAGGUUCCCAGGCUAGGGGUCUAAUUGGAGCUAUAGCUGCCUGCCUACGCCAGAGCCACAGCAACUCGGGAUCCGAGCUGCGUCUGCAACCUACACCAUGCAGUUCGUGGCAAUGCCGGAUCCUUAACCCACUGAGCAAGGCCAGGGAUCGAACCCGCAACCUCAUGGUUCCUAGUCGGAUUUGUUAACCACUGCGCCAUGACGGGAACUCCUGAAACCCAUUUAAAAAUAGUUUUCACUGAGUUCAAAAGCAGUGCAAAAUGGACAGCAACCCCUCUGAUUGUUUUUUCUCAGCCUGGGAGGCCCUGAGGGGCAGACAUCACUCUGGUCCCCACAUGUAUGAGGAGGAAGGAAGGUUGGAGGCACUUUCCUGACCCUGGGGCGCUGGUCUUCCUGUCUGUCCUCCAGCCCUUCCCAGCUCUGGGCAGGCCUCCCCACCCUCAUCACCUGUCCGAGUGCACAUGUCCUUAGGAAGAAGAUAUCUUGCUGCAAGAACCACUAAGAUGAGGCGUUCCUGUCAUGGCACAGUGGAAACAAAUCCAACUAGGAACCAUGAGGUUGCAGGUUCAAUCCCUGGCCUUGCUCAGUGGGUUAAGGACCCAGUGUUGCUGUGACCUGUGGUCUGGGUCGUAGAUGCAGCUCGGAUCCCGUGUUGAUCCUGUGUUGCUGUGGCUCUGGCAUAGGCCAUCAGAUGUAGCUUUGAUUCGACC
rnacentral:lncRNA from 1 species